UGUGGUCAGCUCCUCUCAAAUGGAUCAGCUUACCAGUGUUUGGUGGCGUCACAGGUGUGAUAACUAUCUACGCUUGUGGUUGUCUGCUGAGUAACCUUUGGUGACAGAGGUUCGCUGGAGCUUAUAAAUGUCUCUCCUCAGUGAAGACAGCUUUUUGACCGUUCGAUCUCAAAUCAGGUAGGACUACCCGCUGAACUUAA
rnacentral:misc_RNA from 1 species